CCUACGGUGAGCUGCAGUGAGGAAUAUUGGUCCAUGGGCGUUAGCCUGAACCAGCCAAGUCGCGGGAGGGAUGAAGGUUCUAUGGAACGUAACCCUCUUUUAUAAGGGAAUAAAGUGCGGGACGGGUACCGUUUUGUAUGUACCUUAUGAAUAAGGAUCGGCUAACUCCGUGCCAGCAGCCGCGGUAAUCCGGAGGAUACGAGCGUUAUGCGGCUGUAGUGGGUUUAAGGGGUGCGUAGGCGGCCUUUUACGUCAGCGGUGAAAGUCUGUGGCUCAACCAUUGAAUUGCCGUUGAAACGGGGAGGCUUGAGUAUGUUUGAGGCAGGCAGAAUGCGUGG
rnacentral:rRNA from 1 species